rnacentral:rRNA from 1 species
CCUACGGGGCGCAGCAGUGGGGAAUAUUGGACAAUGGGCGAAAGCCUGAUCCAGCCAUGCCGCGUGUGUGAAGAAGGCCUUCGGGUUGUAAAGCACUUUCAGUGGGGAAGAAAGCCUUGGGGCUAAUACCCUCGAGGAAGGACAUCACCCACAGAAGAAGCACCGACUAACUCCGUGCCAGCAGCCGCGGUAAUACGGAGGGUGCGAGCGUUAAUCGGAAUUACUGGGCGUAAAGCGCGCGUAGGCGGUCUGAUAAGCCGGUUGUGAAAGCCCCGGGCUCAACCUGGGAACGGCAUCCGGAACUGUCAGGCUAGAGUGCAGGAGAGGAAGGUAGAAUUCCCGGUGUAGCGGUGAAAUGCGUAGAGAUCGGGAGGAAUACCAGUGGCGAAGGCGGCCUUCUGGACUGACACUGACGCUGAGGUGCGAAAGCGUGGGUAGCAAACAGGAUUAGAUACCCGAGUAGUC